AUGAUGCGGCGACCCUUGCGGUGGCGGAAAAGGUACACGGCGGCGCCCAGCGGCCACUCCACCACUCCGGCCACGACGAGCGCCACGAAUCCCAGCGUCGGGCCAACCACCUUACACCGGCACGGGUUGCUCCUCGUCCCGCACUGCACGCAGAUCGGCACGAACGCCAUUGUUGUUGCCGAACCAGCCUCUGCUAGUGCUGUCAGAUAG
rnacentral:rRNA from 1 species